rnacentral:rRNA from 1 species
UACGUAGGGGGCGAGCGUUGUCCGAAGUUACUGGGCGUAAAGAGCGCGUAGGCGGACCCUUAAGUGAGGGGUGAAAGGUUCGGGCUCAACCCGGAGAGUGCCUUUCAUACUGGGGGUCUUGAGUGCGGGAGAGGCAAGUGGAAUGGUCGGUGUAGCGGUGAAAUGCGUAGAUAUCGGGAGGAACACCUGUGGCGAAAGCGGCUCACUGGACCACUACUGACGCUGAUGCGCGAAAGCUAGGGGAGCAAACAGG